rnacentral:lncRNA from 1 species
AGCAGGCCAGCUCCUUCGUUCUAGCCAUUCUCAAGAUUUUCAAGGUUAUAAUGGGUCUUUCAGGAGUCCUGCUCUAUACCAAAGGCGUGCUGCAUAUGGCAAUUACUCCAAUGCUGCUCUGCAGCAUCCUGUCCGGGCUUUUGGAGACCUGUCUAUGGUUCCAUCAACAGCUUCUGCUAUUUGCGUUCAGGCUCCUGCUGAGAAAGGAUUUAGCAGCUUUGCUAUUGAUUUCCUCAUGGGUGGAGUUUCUGCUGCUGUAUCAAAAACAGCUGCUGCACCAAUUGAGCGUGUUAAGCUUUUGAUUCAGAACCAAGAUGAAAUGAUCAAAAGUGGAAGGCUCUCUGAACCUUACAAGGGUAUUGGUGAUUGUUUCAAGCGAACAAUCAAGGAUGAAGGAUUUGGUUCUUUGUGGAGAGGGAACACUGCCAAUGUUAUUCGUUAUUUCCCUACUCAGGUUAGCAAUUCUAACUUUUUAUCUAUUACAUUUUCUUUCGAUUAUAUUUAUUGCUUGUGUUUUAUACUUAUUCCUUUGUUCAUUUUUCUACAGGCCUUGAACUUUGCCUUCAAGGAUUACUUCAAGAGGCUUUUCAACUUCAAGAAAGACAGAGAUGGUUACUGGAAAUGGUUUGCUGGGAACUUGGCUUCUGGUGGUGCAGCUGGUGCUUCUUCCCUUCUCUUUGUCUACUCCUUGGAUUAUGCUCGAACUCGUCUUGCAAAUGAUGCAAAGGCUGCAAAGAAGGGAGGAGAGAGACAAUUCAAUGGUCUUGUUGAUGUCUACAGGAAAACCCUAAAAUCUGAUGGUAUUGCCGGGCUUUAUCGUGGUUUCAACAUUUCAUGUGUUGGAAUCAUUGUUUACCGUGGUCUAUAUUUUGGAAUGUACGACUCUCUGAAGCCAGUGCUUUUGACUGGAAGCAUGCAGGUUAGUAUGUAGGAUGUUAUCUGAUACAACUAUAUAUGUUGUCUUGUUACUUAAGCUAUAUUGUUUUUGUUGUAAUGACAUCUUGCUCUGUGUUACCCUUUGAUAAUUACAGGAUAGUUUCUUCGCUAGCUUUGCUCUUGGUUGGCUCAUCACAAAUGGUGCUGGCCUUGCAUCUUACCCAAUUGACACUGUUCGUAGAAGAAUGAUGAUGACUUCUGGUGAAGCUGUCAAAUACAAGAGCUCGCUCGAUGCCUUCUCUCAGAUCUUGAAAAACGAAGGUGCCAAGUCUCUAUUCAAGGGUGCUGGAGCUAACAUCCUUCGUGCCAUUGCCGGUGCUGGUGUGCUCGCUGGAUACGACAAGUUGCAGCUCAUUGUUUUCGGAAAGAAGUACGGAUCUGGUGGUGCUUAAAUUUAGGGUGGUACUAUCUCCCUUCUUUUGUUAUGUUUUAGGUUUUAAAGAUGGCGAUGAAAAGCUCGACACAUUGAGAAAUUUAUUUCGGCAAAAAAAUUCAUUAAUAAUUCAGAUUUAGGGGGGGAAAUUACUCCCUAAACGAUUUAUACAUUUGGGAUGUGAAAUUUUGAUUUACCCAUCUCGGAUUUUUGGUUUGGUUUUUAAGAAAUGAAGUGAUGGAUGUUUUAUUUAUAUCUGAAAACGGAAAUGAUCUGAAGUUUCAGGUUGAAAAUUGGUUAACCGUCCAUGGAAGUUAAUUUUAUGCUUUUGGCUGGCAACGGAAAUGAAUUUAUAUGAUUAUAUUUGUUGUCUUGAUGCACAACGUUAAUUUAUAGAUUGAAAUAAAGUAGUGUGAAAUUAGUAUUUUAUAUUAUGAAAAGAAUAAAGUAGUGAUAUAAGAGAAUGUAUACUUUUGUUAUAUCAUCCACGCUGAAAACGAUGGUAUCAUUUUGGGUUAAGUAACUAAUCCUUGCUUUUGCUUUUGCUUUUGAAUAUUAUAUAUAUAUAAAACUCAGUUGGAAUAUUUUAACUGUUGUGCUCUUUACUCGAAUGCGACUUCAACCGGAUUAGACUAAUAAACAAAGGAUAAACAUAUGAAUUUAAUGAACUUGUUAUUAUAAUAAAUAUUACCUUAUUAUAUAUCAAUGUUUCAUGGAGAUUUUUAUACUAGGAGUUGAAUUGCAUAUCUUUAUUUUACUUCAAUUAAUUAGUAAAUUAAUUCUUAUAAGUUAGAUCAAAGAGAAAAUUAUCAUUCUAUUAAAAUUUCUGUUCGUUCUUGCUAUUAAAAAUUGGUCUCUGUAUGCCAACAUGAGAUACAUACGUCACGCCACAUGUUACUAUUUGAAGAUUGAUUUUCUCCAUGAUCUAACGUAUAUAUACUAAUUUAUUUAUUUAUUAAUUAAAGCCCGUAAAAUGUAAUUUGACUCUUAAUACUUUGUUGCUUUUACGAUUAUGAUAUAAUCUCUCUUUACUCUUUUAGGUUCCAUUGGUUAGUUUUUGACUUUGAGGAUUUAGAUUUAACUUCACACAAGUAUUAUUCCUUUCAUUUGUAGUUGUUUACUUUUUCUCCUUUCUGGUUUGUCUUUGGUUCAAAAAUAUCAGUCGUUUUGGUACAACUAAAUUUAAGACUCUAAGCUGCUUGUACUGUUGGUGGAAAUAGUUUCAGCCAAAGGUAAGCGUAUAACCGUAAAAUCUCGACUAAUUACCAACUUAGCCCUCAAAUCAUACAGCAUUUUCUAUUUAGACACUUACUGUUUUUUAAAUAAAAAAAAUGGUAAUUAAACAAUCCAUUUUAUUUCAUUUUAUCUAAAAAAAUAUAUAGCCACUAAAAACAUAAAACAUCAUACGUUUGAUAACGGUUUAAUGACUGGUGGGUGAGAUGGUUGUAUGAAAAAGCAAAAGGAAUAAGGGAUAAAUAUUAAAAUUAUACAUGGAGUUUAAUUUUGUAUAAAUAUACAGUAGAAGUAUCAUGGAAGCCCCUGUAUUAGGAGCCAGAUUGUAUUUUACCCCUUCUACUAAAAAAUGGGCAAAUUAAUUCAUAUAUGUAAGAUAAAAAAGCAAAUCGGUCUUUUUUGUUAAAAAAUCCAUCAUUCGUAUUGCUAAAAACUAGUGUGGCUGACGGGAUAAUCGAAUAGUGACAUGUGGUGUGCCACAAGUACCUCAUGCUGAUGUAUAUAGAUCAAUUUACUUUUUGAUCUAAUGUGUAGGGACUUAUUUGUCUGUUUUUUCAGUAGAGAGGGUAAAAUGCAAUUUAACUCCUAAUACAGGGGCUUUCAUGGUACUUUUACCAUAAUUACACACAUUAAACUUUGAUUUUUGUUCCAAUGUAUACAAUUUAUUUUUACAUUGCAUAAGUAUAAUUAUUUGUGUAUGUAAUAUGUAAAUGUAAAAUGAUAUUAUAUCGAUAAUGAUGUUAAUUAUUUAUGAUAACUGAAAUCAAAUUAAAAUAUCAUAUACAGCAUUACUCAUUAAAUCAAAUUUCAUGUGUAAUUUCAAGAUUUAUUCCUCGUACUAAAACAAAAACAAAAGUAUAUGGUAAUGAUAAUAUUCAAAUUAAUUAGAUAAAAAGUUACUAAGCCAAAAAAAAAAAAGUUAAUAGUUUUAGCCUAUAUCAAAUUUAUCAAUGGUUUGAAAUUCAUUUAUUUUAAUUUUGAAAUAGAGGAGAAAAAUAUAAUGACAAUUUUUACUAUAAAAAAUAAUUAUUAAAUUUUAUUGUAUCGAAUGAUAAAAAAAUUGAAAUUAUUUUUAAUAAAAUCUCGAGUUUAAAUUUUGUAAAUGAAAAUGAUAAUCUUGAGAGAAUUUGUCUAAACUUGACAUUAAAUAUAGUCGAGAUUCAAUAUAAUUUUGAUAUUGUAGGUAUUAGAAUAGAAAAUUAACAUGAAAAUAAGAAAAUAAUAUUAAUAAUUUAGAGAUGAAUUCGCAACUUUUAUUAUUAAUGUUGUUAAAAUCAGAUUAGAUUGGUUGGGGUGUCGGUCCGAAGAGAAAGGUUAGACCGUUUGAUUUGUGAAUUGCUCAGAAUCAGGUUAAAAAAGUUUGGACCGGCGAUUGAAUUGAUUUUAUUUAUUUUUUAGUAUAUUAGUAUUUAUGAUUUUUUAAUAAUUUAUUUAAUUAAACUGGAUGGACUGAUUGAAUUGAUAAUCUAACUGGUUCAGCCACCAUUUUGAUUCUAAAAACUUUGUUAUUAUAAGAAAUAAAAAAAAUAUUUUGGUUUAUUUAAUCAUAAAAAAAACUAAAAAAAAAAGGGUAAACUACACUUAAUGUCACUAAACUAUUGGUAAAUUUACGUUUUGGUCACUUAACUUUAAAAAAUUACAAAAUGAUCACUAAACUAUUUGAAAGCUUUCAUUUAAGUCACUAAAUUAUUCAAAAGUUUUUAUUUAACUCACUAGGUUGUUAAGUUUUUUCUUUUUUUUUAAAAGUCCAGCUAGCGAGCUCCAAGCAACAAAUCAACCAUUGGUACGAUGGAUCAGUACUGAUUGACAAGAAUGGUACCACUUGAGCAUAGACGCCCUGGGCACAAUACUUCCACCUUUGAGGUUUCUCUCAAAACAAACCCAACUUCUCCUCAACAAUGUUCAUUCUUCUCAUGAACGGUGAAUUUCUAGUUUUGAAAUGAAUUUGGGUCAUUAAUGUUUGUUGGAUCGAGCGGUAAAGAGUUCGAUUUCCCUUAAAAAAGGUGGAUGGAGAAUAUAGUAUUAGGAGAGUUUUGUUUUGCCUCUUGUUUAGAGGUUUGACCUGGCUUGACUUUGGAUUUAUUUUAACCUCAGAAGAAGAAAGAAACUCGGGUCUUCCCCGAUCAUUUCAUAGGGAUUUAUGUGCUAAAACAAAGUAUAAUUAGAUAUAGUCCUUUCAAUAAAAAAUGGAAGCUUUAGUCUAUCAACACAUGCUUAAUUAAUCUACUAACAUUACUUGGUUGCUUGAUGUUGGAUUCGUGUUAUACAUCUAGUUGUUUUCAUGCAUGUAUGUGAUAAGAUGGUGGUUUUUUUCUCUGUUCAGGAAAAUGUAUACUAGUCGAUGAGCAUGAAUGCAUACAAAGUGUUUACGGUCCAUAUGAGGUAAAUGAUCAUUUGACAAGAAUGGAUGGAUGUCUCGAGGACCAGCCUGCGGUUUUAGAUAUGCAGCCCGGAGGUGAUGCAGUUGUGGAGAUGCAUACUACACCCGAAGACUGUUAGUUGAGAAAUAAGUUUUAAUCUACGUUUACAGGCACUCCGAAUCAUCAAAGCAAUAGUAAUUCUCCGGUAUGAUCCAAAUUCCGAGUUGAACGGAAUAGUUGUCGAGAAUGAAACAAAGUUCAACUAUUGGCGCUGAUCAAAAUUUCCGUCUUUAUUAUGAGUUUAUUGCCUUAGAAAGUAGAAAGCGGAAGCUUACUGUUAUGAUCACGAAUGAGCAAUGGAAAUGCAAGCAUUGGCAUGGAUACCAAUGUGGGGGAAAUAUGUCUGUAUUUAUUGACCUUGUCCGAGCCGUAGCACUUGUAUAUAGGCUUAGAGUAAAAUUCGAUUCGACUUGAAAAAAAAAAUUCAGAAUUUUGAGUUAAUUGAAUCAAGUUAUUCAAUUUUCUUAAGUAAACUCGAGGUCGAGUCAAGUUAAAUUUUACAAUUUAAAUAAUUCGAAUAACUCAAAUACUUCAAAUAAUUCAAAUAAUAGAUUGGUGUAAAUAUACCUUUAGUCUCUAUCAAUUUCGGAAUGAGUAAAUUGGUCUCUUUUUUAACAAAAAUUACUAUUCUUUUAAAUAUUUAUAAAAAUUUCAAAAUUUAUUAUUCGAAUAUGCAUGAAAGCCCAACUCCAUUGCAUUGUCAGAAUCCGUGUUGUAUAUUUGAAAGAGGUUGACCUCCUUGCUUCUCAUGGUACAAUCUUCUUUCCCUUGAGCCCCUUUUCUUCUCGGUCCAUAGAAAUAAAAUGUAAUAUAGGACUGGUGCCAAGAGUUAAUCACAGAAGAAAGGACUCACUGAGCUGGGAUUACUAACUAAUACUAAUAUAAUACUAUUUUCCUCUUAUUUUGCUUUGAAAGAGUUUUAAAAAAUCUAUUGUUUCAAAUUUAUGCACUUUAAUAUAAAAGUAGUUAUAUUUUAAGAAGAUUUUAAUUUGAAAUUUUUAAUUUUUUUAAUUUAACUCAAACAAUUCUAUUUGAUUUAACUUGACUCGAAUUUCAUUUUACUUGACUCGAUUCGAAAAAAAAUUAAAUCGAGUUAGGAUGAUAAAAUAAGACCCGUCAAUUUGAUUAACUCGAAAAUUUUUCACUUGAUUCGAUUAAACACUCACCCCUACUCGUAGAGCUUGUAAAAUUGAUUCAUUUUAACCGAGAAUAUUAAGUCUGCCUAAUGGAAUUAGGUUAUAAUCAAGUUGAAAUUGCAAUGUGACUGUGGCGCUAUGGCUUUUUUGGGCAGACUCAAUGGUGGGCCUAAUGAAAUUAGGCAUUAAGACAUCAAAAUUCAAUGGGUUCACAUCAGAGGUGCUCAGGGGCAACGGUAGCUAAAGGCUGACAGGGCCCCGACCUCAAUAAAAUGAAAAAUUAUACAUUUAGGCUUUUUAGAAAUUUUAAAACUCCAAAUUAGUAAAGAUAAAAUUACACUUUGCCCAUUAAAAAUGAUAAAAAUUGAUUUAACCCUUUACAAAUUAAUUAUAAAAAUAUAGACUAUUAAAAAUUACAAUUUAAUUUCGGUCCUCCCAGAAAUUUACUAGCUUCAGCCUUACUCAUGGGUCGGAUCAAGCCGGACCUAAGCAUGAUAUUAACAUACUUUAUGCUUGUCCAAACUUGGCCCAACUCGAAAUAUUGACCUAAAAUUUUGCCCAAACCCGUUCAUAUUUGCAAAAGGCUAACCCAAGUUCAUUUUAAACCCGCCCAUAUUAUUUUUUUAAAAUUUUUAACAAAUAUUUAUAUUAUAUUAUUUUAAUGUUUAAUAAUUUUAUACCUUUUUUAUUUAUUAAAAUUUUUAUAUAAUCAUCUUAACAUUAUUUUAAUGUUUACAUUAGAGUAAUAUUAUAUAUUUAAUAUAAAUUUAUUUUUUAAUAUGUUCUGAAUUAUAUAAUAUAUAAAAAUAACAUAAUAUAAAAUAUUAAAAACUUGAAAACGAGUCGAAUCAUCCGAACUUAAGCCUUAAAUGUUAAAACCCAAUCCCGACCCAUAUUUUAAACGAAUUUAACUUUUUACUUAAACCUAAUUUUUAAAUUUAAUAAUUUUUCCUAAAUUCUCUCAAAUUUCGGAAUCAAACAGAUAUCCCCAACCUUUUAACAGUUGUAGUCGGCAUCAUUGCUUACUUUGAAACUUUUGUUGAUUAGCCGCAUUUCAUUAAUUUUAAUUUUACAAGACAGCUGUUUUUGAGUUGUUUGAGAAUUUUCCACUCACUUUUUUUCUUGCCAGAAAAUUGUGGCAAUCACUGUCAAUAUUUUGGAUUGAAGAAUUUGAUUAUGGAUUUGGGAAGGGCCACGUUUAGGGUUUGUUGGUGAUUUUUGGUUUUUGAUUAAGUGAAAAUGAAACCUCACUCAUAAAACACUUCCUUUGUCUAGGGUCAAUAUCUUUUAUAUACAUAUCAAUUCUGGUUCAAAGCACAUAUAAUCUACGUCGAAAAUUAUUAUCGGAAAAAUUUACAAAUAGAAGAGGAAAUAUUUAUUAAUGUUGAAAAAUUAAUAAUACAAGUAAAAUUCAGACUACUUCUAUUUUAAGAGUUAAACAAUUCUAUUAUAAUUAAUGUCUAAUAGAAAAAUUAUAAUGCUAUUUUAAGAACCUUGAAUCUUUCCCCAUAAAUCCCUUAUUUUGUCUCUCUAUUUUGUUUAUUUAACAUUAAUAUAUAGAAAUGGUAGCGAAUGCUGUAGGGUAUCAAUGUUCCCAAAAUAGCUUCUCAAUUCUUGCGUCCUUAUUAUUUGUAAACCUUCCAAUGGUACUAUUGAUGUUGCUGCUGUAAUCUUUGAGGGGUUGUGACAUGAAGAAUAAUUGGAUGGUUCCCUUCUUUACAAGACAAGACCAGCCCAGAAAACCCAACAAAACAUCGACCAUAUUCAAGCUAAAAUACGUAAACCAUAGACCAGAUGAAGAAUAUAAUAGGAAGGUCCCCAAAACAGUGUUGAGUAGAGUAGGACUUCCCUAAAACAAGACAAAAUACGUAAACCACGUACCAGAUUCAAGAGCAUUCCUGUUUUACGAUGAUGGUGGUGGUUGAUGGAGACAGUGUGUAUUGAGGGAAGCUACAGUGGGUGUGUGCUCAGUGGUGGCGAUUGGCGACUGGUGAACGAUGAUGGUGUUGACUGGUGGGUGUUGGCGGAGUGGAGAAGGCAAAUGUGUUUUCUUUAUUAGUUGAUUUGAAUGGAGAAAGUGGAGGAGAGGAGAGGGCUAAUUGGACUGUGGGAAAAAAGAGAGUAUAGGUUGGUUAUCCAGGUUGAGUUGGGUUCGAGAAAAAAAAGCUUACUUGAUGUUCAACUUGUUUUGUAAACAGAUAUCAUUUUUUUUUUGGACAGAUCGACUCAUGAUUAAGUCUAAGUAGAAGACAUGUGAUAAUAAUAUAGAGAUAUAUAAAUUGUAUAAUUAGUUUCUUUCAAUUAUUUUCCGUACAAAAAAAGAAUUCUUUCAAUUAUUCCUAUUAGGGGGUGAGCAAAAUCUGAUUCGAUUCGAAAAACCCAAUAAAAAAUUCAAAUUUUAACUCGAAUAUGAAUUACACAAUUCGAGCUAUUCGAAAAUCUGAAUAAAAAAAGCCAAAUUACAUCGUUUUGAUAAAUGUUUACUCAUCUACCUUAAUUAUGUUGUUAAAUAAUUUUGUAUUUUGUCUGCUAGUUAAAUAAUCAGUCAAUGUAAACGCAACAUCGAGUAUAAAUAAUAUGAUUCGUUAACUCGACUCGAAUCGAAAAAAUUUUAAAUUGAGUUUGGUUGUUAAAAUAGUAUUCGUCAACUCGACUAACACGAAAAUUUUUGACUCGACUCGAUCAAAUACUCACCCCUAAUUCUUAUUGGAUAUAUUAUAAUAAUUACUAUUACAAAUUGUUAUAUUUGAGUAAUGAAUUAGACUCUAACAGAAUGUUGCCUUUAAGGAAAAGAAUGCUUUAAAAAACAAGGCUUACUUUACUGUACUGCACUUUACUGUGUUACCGGCCAUGGCUAUGGCCAUGUCGAAUAGUCGAUGGCGACAGCGUCGUAGUUUGCGUACGUAGCAGUCAAAUUAGUCGAGGCCUAUGCUUAGGUUCUUUUUCUUGUCUUCCUUUGAAUAAAAAUAGUGUCUGUCUGCAGGUGUGUGUUAGUUGGUGUCUUAAAUCUUAAUUAAUUAAUGUUUUGAAGUCUAAUUAACCAUGCAAAUCCCAUGCAUUGGGGGCGCAUGCUGCCGCCUACAAAUUUUAAUAUUAUUCACGUUUCUCCUCUUAAAAAUAAUUUAUUAUGAAAGGUGUUAUAUUAAUUAAUUGUUUUUGUAUACUGAUAUAUAAUAAGGAAAUGUGUAUUGUGCAGUAAAAGUAAUUUCUUUACGACGCUUAGUCGUAACGGUAAGGUAUAUUAUAUUAUUAAAGAGAAUUCGAUUUUGAAUAUUAGAAAUAUUAUUGUUGAGAGGGAUAACUAUGAACUCCGAAAGAAUUAGUAUUUAUGAAUCAUAAAACGGAGAUAAAUAACACUUUAUUGUUGGGAGCGGGGGCAAAGCUAGAAAAAUGUCUUGGGGAUUGAAAUUAAGUUGUAGAUUUUUAUGAGAGCUAAAAUAUAAUUUCAUCAUUUUAAUAACUUAUAUCUUGAUAGUCUUUUAAAGGACUAAAUCAAAAUUUUAUCAUUUUAGGGGUUCAAGGUGUAAAUUUACCAUGCAUGAACUUAAAAUUUUAUAAAUUAUAAAGGCUCAAAAGUUGAAUUUGCCAUUUAGGGGGGCAAGGCCCUUGCUAGCCCUUGCCGUCAUCGGAGGGAUAACCAUGAACUCUAAAAAAUUGAUCUUCAUAGAUUGUGAAAUGGACAUGAAUAAUACCUUAUUGUUGAGAGGAAUAGCCACAAAUUCCAAAACAAUUAAUCUUCAUGGACUGUAAAACGGAUACAAGAAACACCUUAUUGUUACGAGGGGCAACCAUAAAUCCAAGAAGAACUAAACUUCAUAAAUCAUAAAAUGAACAUAAAAGACACAUUGGUCAUACCUAAAAAAGAGAGAAAGGGAGUGGUUUAUGGAUUUGAAUAGGACCCAAUAUUAACAAACAUUUUUACCACUACACCAAUGGUUUGGUAUAUAUUGUCACUGUCGAAACCAUUUUUUUGAAAACAAAAAUUGGAGUCGCCACCGAUCCUUGAUUGAGGUGUGAUCGGCUCACCUUAAAAACAAUUUUGGCCUGCGAAAUUUGAGAAAACAUGUUCGGGAGUCAGUUAUGCAUGAGGAAAGAUUAGCACCCUCGUAACGCCCAAAAAUCGGUACCAAAUUGAUUAUUUAAUGUCUUGGUGUCGAAAAUUUAAAAGAUUUAAAAAAAAACUCAAAUUUUGAAAUCUGAAAAGGAUAAUCAAUUAUUCAAGUCAUGCGAAGAAAUUGAGACCCAAUACGUUAGGGUACAAUUUCUCAAAAUCCCAGAAUUUUAAAUAUCGCUUUUCCAUUAAUUUUUUAAAGAAAAUCUUCAUUUCGAGAAAGCAAUAUGUCAUGCCCAAUACGUUAGGGCUCAAUUUUCCUCGAAAAUCCCUAACUUUGAAUAUUGUUUUUAUUUUGAAAAUCUUUGAAUCAUAAAAAAUGAUUUUAAUGUUUUGACAAAAUCAAAAUGUAUUUUAAAAUAUGUUAAAAAUGUUAAUGCAAUAUGAAACAAAUAUUUUAAUUUAAAUUAUGUGUAUACAUAAGCAUGAUAUAUAAACAAUUUUAGCAAAUAUGUAUAUGGAUAUGAGAGAAAAGACGUAAGUCAUAAAAAAAAACAAUGAUAAAAUACAUAUAAAAUAUAUUAAUGCAUUUAAAAAAAUGUAUAAGUAUAAUGUAUUAGUAAAUAUAAAAACAUGGAAAAUCUUUAUAAUAGCAUAUAUGUACACGUUAUAAAAAUGUAUAAACAUAUGAAUUAUAAAACAUGAAAAUGUAAAUAUCAUAAAAAAUAUGAAUGUAUAUAAAAAAUGUAUAAACUAUAAAAAUAAGAUGAUAUGAUAAUAAAAUAUAUACGUACUACAUAUAGGUAUUUAAAACAUUUAGAAUAUACAUAUAUACGUACAAUAAUAAUAUAGUAAUAAUUAUACUAAUAAACAAUAUAAUAAUAAAAAACUAAAAAUAACAAAUUAAGGAUUAAGUUAAGAAAACAAACAGAAUUUGAAAUUCAAAACAAGAAAGGGAGUAAUUUGAAAUACGCGUAACAAAGGAAGGGCCGAAGGAGAAAAUUACCCAAAAAUUCUGCACCGCACUGGGCUAAAAUAAAACAGAUUCGAUAUUUCAUGGAAAAAUUUGAAAACAAAAAAAUGGUUUUGAAAUGAUAGGACUAAAAACAUAAAUAACCCAUAAAUACAAUCUCAUUUCAUUUGCAGCCAAUAAAACCCAUUUCAAACCCCUAAAACAGAACUCCUCUGCCAUUCAAAAUCGCGCCGCAGCAGUUCUCCUCCGCCGUUCCAGUCCCCUCCCAUGUCCGACUAGAUGACGACGAAACGAGGACGCUCUCUGACGACUCUCGCAACGGUAAGCCCUCCUUUUCCUUUCCCUUUUGUUUUUGUUUUAUAACAGAAAAUAAAAAAAGAAAAAAAACAACAAUCCCACAGAUUCUAAAAAAAAAAAAACAAAACGAGAUGCCUUCAAAAAUAUUUUUUUUUGUUUCUUUCUCUUUUGUAUUUUCUUUGAUGUUUUUCAAUACAGAAUUUUUCUAACCAAAAUUUGCCAACCCCUCUUACAGAUUCGAUUUGACUUUAAAUAGCCAAAAUAACCAAAAGAAAAACCUCCGAAAACCUCUUUUCCACCCUUUACAGUUCGUGGUUGUUGCAGGUACGAGCGUAUGGCGUGCGCGGAGUGCUGAACGUGGGAGUGUGGAGGCUAGUUGCUGCUAGGGUUUCUGCUGUUUUAGGUCAAUUGGGCCCUAUAAUUGGGUUUAGCUUGGCCCAAGUUUUAUUGGGUUCAAUUGUAUUUAAUUUGGGCUGUGUAAAUAAUUUUGGAUUGGUCUUAUUUUGAAUGGGCCGGGCAAAAAUAGGCUAUUACAGUCACUAUCUAAUGUAAUUUGGCAUAAUAUCACACGAUGAAAGUAGAGGCACCAAAAACGAAUUAAACCCUUCUAUAUGUGAGAUCAAUCCCUUUUAUAUAUACAUAUAACCUAAUAUACUAUAAUAUAAAUAGGGGUUAUGCUUCAAGAACACGUGUGGGGAGUUAUGGGAAAUGGAAGCAAACAGGUAAAUUUGUGUCUCCGACACAUAUGAUGAUUACCUUGUGAGUGAAGAAAAAAAAGCAAAAAAAAUAAAAAAUCCAAAAAGACAAUAAUUAAUUGAGUCAAACACAAGACGACCCUUUGUUGUGUAAUGUAUAGUGUAUGUAUAUGUUUUGUGGUUCCACUCCAACCCUAGGAGGUCCCCCUCCAAUCCGUUUUCCACUCUAUCCCCAUCAACCAACAAACACCCCCUCCCUAUCUAUAUAUUUGGUUAAAUUUUAAUAUUAGUCCCUUCUUAUAUAAAAGUUCUACAUUUAGUUGUUAUACUUUAGUUUGGUUUUUUUUAGUUUGUGUACAUUUUGAAUUUUGAAAUUUCAAUGUUGCGCUCUGUUCAAAGCCUCUCGUCUCCUCUCCAUAAAUCUCUCACUCAACGCAGAGCGAAUAGGCGGAGACUUCCAAGAAUCUAUCGCAUCAGCUAAUCACGCUCUAAAGGUAACAAUUUCUCUAAAUUUUCAAUAUUAAACUUUUUAAGCAAAUAUCAGAUCUGAAUCUGAUGUUCUACUUUUUAGCUUCAAUUUGUUCUAGUUCAUCACUAUUUCAUUCUUUUUUAUUUAUUUAUCUAUAUUAUAGCUGCACUUUUAGUUUUUCUUCAUUGUUUGUUAUUAGAUCUGAUUAUUUUCUGAUACUGUUGAUCUGUGGUGAAAUGUUUUGAAAUGUUUUUGCCUACGUUCGAUCUGAUCUAUCGUGUAUAUAUUAUUUUUUCUUGAAAUUUACGCUUGAUUCGUUAGAUCUAUUGGUGUUUACUGCUUUUGGCUGCAAAUCGGUGGUGUGAGAAUCUGUUUGGUUUGUAUCCAACUCUCACUUGUUGAAAUUUUAGAUCCAUUGAUUUCCGUCACUUUUAGAGAGUCUCCUUUUUCACUCAAGAAAAUAGAUCAUUUUUCACUACCUUUAGAUCAGCUGCUGUUUCUGCCUUUUCAAACUUCAAUACGAGGCAAAAUAUAUAUGUAUUUAUUUGUAAUAUCCCUUACUGAAAUUACUUGCAUAAAUUCAAAAAAGUUGAUAUGUUUAUACAUGCAGUGCAUUUUAGGUGAUUGUUUACCGUUCAAUAUGGUAUUUAUUUUAUGGUUUCUGCUUAAAAUUGCCGCGUUGAUUAUGUUCUUGUAUCUGUGAUUCAAUUUUGUAUGUCCUUUUGUUUUUACUUCUAGUAAUAUGUUGUUCUUGAUGAGAUGUUCCAAUCUUGCAGCAUAUCCCCUUAGUAUGCCUUGUUGCACGGUUUACUCUUUCUUGUUAAAAUAAAACCGUGAUUCCACUUGAUGUCUUCUAUAUUUAGUUUUUCUUGGCUAUAACAUUUUUGUAUCCAUAAUCUUACAUCUGGCUUUGUUUCAUUGUUGACAGUUAAUGUGCAUUUCUUUUCAUUCUAUUCUGUGUGUUCAUGUGCUCAUUUUCUUUCUUUCAAUGAAUUCAGAAUGGAUCAGGUUCAACACCCAUCUAUCAUGCAGAAGGUAGCAGGCCAGCUCCUUCGUUCUAGCCAUUCUCAAGAUUUUCAAGGUUAUAAUGGGUCUUUCAGGAGUCCUGCUCUAUGCCAAAGGCGUGCUGCAUAUGGCAAUUACUCCAAUGCUGCACUGCAGCAUCCUGUCCGGGCUUGUGGAGACCUGUCUAUGGUUCCAUCAACAGCUUCUGCUAUUUGCGUUCAGGCUCCUGCUGAGAAAGGAUUUAGCAGCUUUGCUAUUGAUUUCCUCAUGGGUGGAGUUUCUGCUGCUGUAUCAAAAACAGCUGCUGCACCAAUUGAGCGUGUUAAGCUUUUGAUUCAGAACCAGGAU